UGUAGCAAAAGAUGCAUUUAGCUAAAAAAAGGAAAUACUUCUAACAUCAACAUGUGAAAAGCUCAGCCGUUUCUGCUUGACUGAACAUCAAUACAGUGAGUGUCUGAUCCAGUUU